GACGCAAGGCAUUUGUGGAUCGUGCAAAACUGUUUUGAUUUGAUCCAUCCAACAUGUCAGGGUCUCUGGCCAGACAGAGGAGGGAAGGAGCUACACGCACACCGAGCCCUGCCUUGCUGUCACAGCACGAAGGGGAAACCGAGGCCGCGGUCGCCGUGCUUCCUGCCCUUCUGAGCAGCAGUCACCUCCCUGGGAAAACACUUCUCGGCAAGGAACUUGCACUCCCCCCAGAUCUUUAAGGAGGUUGAACAAGUCCACGGGUGCAAGCAUUCAUGUAAAAACCACGGUCAUCAAUGACAGGACAAUUUUGACAGAGAGAGCGAGCUAUGGAGAUCUAAUGACUCAGUGUAAUACAGAAUCCUGGAGAAGAUCCUGGAACAGAGAAAAGGUGUUGAGAAGAACCUGGGGAGAUCUGCAUGAACUGUUGAGUUGAACAAUGAACCAAUCCUGGCUUCUUAGUUGUCAACUAUAGACCAUGGGGGUACAACAUGGUAACAAUAGGGGACACUCGGCAGACGGUAUGUAGAAACCCUCAUACUAAAUUUCUAAUUUCUUUGAGUAUGUGUAACUAUUCUAAAAUUUAAGAACUUAAGAAAUACAGCUAGAUGAGUCAUAGCAAAAUAUACCAAAUGCAAAAUAAAGAAACGUGAUUUGCAAGCAUCAGAAUGCAAGGGUUGAACGUAUCUGCAUUGAUCUUUCCCUUAGGCUUUGGGGUCUAGGGAACAGUCCUUGAGGUGCAAUCAGUCUUAACACGGAGUUUGCUUUAAAGUUUGCAGCUUUGAUCUUAUCCAACACUUCUUUGAAUUGCUUCUUUACACUAAUGAUUUUAACAAAAUGGAUCAAAUCAUGUUAUUUUUCAAAAUCCACGAGAGAAAGAGAGGAAUACUCAACAAGCAAUAAUGACAGGUUAUUCCAAAGAAGCACCUGGGAGUUUGGACUUAAGACAACAGGGGUUAAUUUUCACCUUCUUUAAUGUGUGACUGGUAUGUGACUUUUUCAAGGCUGUAAGUCCGUUUGUCCGUUAAGCAGAUAGCUGGGACCAGCAUUCAAAUGCUCCUUUUCCAGGCCUGGGGUAGGAGCCUACGUUACUAGAUUUCCCAGUACAACUCUCCCAUCUCUGAGGCCUUUACUGCACAGUCAGGGGGUGGUUUCGCUACGUCACUAAUAGCCAGUCCUCCUGACCUGGAGCCUUCUCCGAUCUCCGUGCUGUCAACAUCUCUCCAGUGGCCUAUUUCACACUGCUAACAUGUUGUUACAGAACAUGUGUGCACAUUUGGAUCCCUCCCACCCCGGGGUGGCUCCCACACACCACCAAGUAGUCUUUCCCUCUGCCAGUGGGCACCGGGCAGAUCUGGGCUCUUACCACCUUUCCCAGUUUUCUCCCUAUGGGUCACACCACCCGUCAGCAAGGCCGAGCUCUUGGCAGAUGUGCCGUUUAUAUGGGCCUGUCUCACAGGGGACAAUGAGGCUGCAUCAAAUUCCAGAAGGACAAAAGGGAGAAACAAUCAUUUUCUUCCCUUAUCAAAGCGCAGCAUUGAAACUGAAGAGGAAUGCCGCUCAGCUUUCGGUUCCAGUGUUGCGAAUCUUGAUGGCAGUCCAAUUCAUACGGCUCCUAAAAUGGCCAUCAAGCUACAUUGCACAUUGUAUCACUGCAGAGAAACACUCAAUAGAAACAAGCUUCUAUGGACUAGGUCCAAAAAUCCCAGUUAUUUGCAGGCAGAAAUGGUCCCCCCAUUUGAGAUAAAAUGCAACAUUCCAGCAUUAGGAGCAAAGCAGUCCAAGCAGGUUUGUCAUUAAACCUGUCCCCAACUUUGACUCCUUUUGCAUAUGCCAAUAACACCUUGUUUAUGGAUUAACUUCCUGGAAAGAAUCUGUAGACUUUGGGAUGACCUUAAAAUUUAUAUGCUGAGUGGGAAACAAUGAUAUACCAUAUGUUACCGUGGACAACAAAAAUGAAACAGAGCUCCAACAGGUAUAGUUUGGGGCAAGUUCUAGAAACUCAGUAUUGCUCUUUUUGUGCACUUCGACUUAGCUAAGCAUUUGAUUAUUUACCCUAAGAGCGGGGAGGAUUCCUUGGACCCCCCCGAUGCAUUCUCUCCCAGGCAAUCUUUUCAGAACAGAAAUGAGGAUUGGAAUUCGUUGGCUCAUACUGGACAGGAAAGUUGAAGUAAUUCCUGGAAACUAAAUGUAAUCCUUUCUUCUCCAGAAUUUGCGGUCAUUAAAAAGUUUGAGUACCAGUAAAGCAAAGUAAAAGGCACAGAUUAUUGUUGUAACUGAGCACUUACAUAACUAAAUUUCCUGUUUUUUUUUUUUUUUUUUUAAAGAGGGUUUUGUAGUCAUCCAUGAUCUUCAAAGGCCUUCCCCAUGCCAGGAAAGAGAACAAUAUUCAUCUUAUUAGUUAUUUUGUGCUUCCUCUUUUUACUUUAAUCUUUCAUUAGUUUGGGAUCAAUGUUGACAAUGGUGAUGGUUAAUUUUAUGUGCCAACUCACCUAGGCUACGGAGUGCCCACAUAUUUGGUUUAACAUUGUUCUGGGUAUUUCUAGGAGAGUGUUUUUGGAUGGGUUUUACAUUUAAAACAGUCAAGAACAUGGCCCUCUUCCAACGUGGGUGGGCCUCAUCCAAUCAGUUGAAAGCCUGAAUACAAAGAUGCCAACUCUUUCUCUAGUAAAAGGGAAUUAAGUAAUUAAGUCCUCCUGCCUGACUGCUUCUGAUCAGGAUGUUGGUUUUCUGCCACCUCCUCCCUCCAACUCAAACAUGGGCUCUUUUGGGUCUUGAGUUCUGGCCUUGAGACUAGAAGGAUACCACUGGUCAUCGUGAGUCACCAUCUUGCCAACUGGGUCUUGAGAUUUGGCUGCUUACAUGACUGUAGGAGUUAAUUCUUUAUAAUCCAUAUAUAUAUAUAUACCCCCACAUAUCUCGCUACUGUUUUUUUCUGGAGAAGCCAACUAAUCCAACAACUUAAAAAAUCUGUGUUCUACAACCCCCCCAUGAUUUAGUCCAUUGUCUCAACCUCAUGAAAACCCUUUCAAUCUGACUUUACACAUUUAUACACAAUUUGACCUAUUUACAUGUUUAGAUUCUGUUCCACUAAUCUGCAUCUAGCUGUACCUUCUUUGGGAACACAGGUUUUUUCAGGGUUGCUUGAUAAAUGUUCAGCAUUUCAUUGUUUUUUUCAUACCACUGCAAUGAAAUAACAAUGAGCCUAGGCAGAGGUCAUGGUUCUUGACCUAAAAUAGGCAAAAAGACAUGGCUUUUCGAGUUUUUCCUCCCUCCCUUCUACCUUCCCUGACUGCAAACACUUCAAUUUAACAUUUUCAACGGCGCUCGCACAGGCAGACAUGACAAAUGAAGCUGUUCGGGCUGGGCAGGGGCCGGCCGGAGCUCCCCCGUCAUGAGGCUGGUCAUGGAUCCUUACGUUCCAGGGAGGCCUGAGAGGAAAGCACCCCCUCCUUCAGCUGGUACCUGCUUCCCAAGGUAGGUUUCUGUUUUUCAUGUUUUCACAAAGGCCGGCAACAACUUAAGCGUUAAUAUCGCCAUUUACCUAAUGCAUUUUCAAUGCCCUCUUUAAUUCUUCCAAACCAGUGUCGGGGCAAGAUGAAAGGAGAUUUAUGAAGACGGCCGUGUAUUAGGUUCUCUCCUAACACGGUGCUUUAUUUGCUCACUAAUGGGCCUACAUUUACAGUCAGUCGUCAUCAACAGACAACACAUCCAAAGUAAACUUCAGUUUCUCAUCGUGGAGGAAGGGAUUCCGAUGGAAUGUUGUUCAUCAUCGAGAAUCUAUUCCUAAAUCCAAUUUAUGGGAAGAUUAUGGCAUUUAAUGCACUUGAGGCGAAGAGUCGGCUUUCAGUGAGAAAGUGCAUGAGGUAUCAGAGAAGGAAUGCCGCCGCCUGCCCUGCUGUCUGCAGGAGCUCGGGCCCACCGCACGGGCAGGAAUGAGCCAGAAUUUUUUUCCUACUGUGAUCGGAUAAAAAGGGCACACACUGUGUGGCCCCUGGGCAGAGGAUCAGGACCAGGUGUGGACACGAACUGCUUCUGUGACUAGGAGGGGACAGUCACGGAACCUCCCAGGGGCUCAGCCAUCUCGCCUAGAACAGGAGGCAUCAGGGAAAAUCUGGGGCCCACAGUCUUGUAAGAUCUUGUGAUCCCAAGGAAGGACCCUUACAGACCCAGCUACCCUGAUGUCCCCAGCAAAAGUCAGAAUGACUGCAGGGAAGUCCUGACUCCUAGAGCACGUCUGAGGGAGCAGAGCUUCGUCCAGGCUCAGCUUUGUAGAGGGGUGUGUAUGUGUGCAUGCACACGUGUGUUUGUACACACGCAGCAGACAUGGCGUGGGGAGGGUGUGCUGGGCCGAAGGGCUGGUUUAGAGGAGGUCGUUUUUUGGUAUGUGAAUAACUAGCUAUUUUCAAAAGCUACUUCAGCGGAGUUUCCGAGCCUGGGUGAGAAUGGGAAAUGGUGCGGGGUCAGACCUCGGCCCUCCCGAACUGGAUAGCUCCCCACCGGGCAGGCGCUUGUGGCUCUUCCUUUUUCUCUCCCACAGAGGAAUCUGCUAUUUCUAGAAGACACCGGCUGAGUGGCAGCUGGGCCUCUGCUGCUCCCUGGGCAGGACCCAUAUGUUAGACGCUGGGCCCCGCUGGUCAGCUCUGCAUGCUUCCUUGCCUCCUACGGGGCUUAGGGACCGUCCACACCCAGCAUUAGGGCCUUAAUCCCGUCUUCUAGAGGACUUGAGGGAUGACCUGUGGUAAAGUCCCACCCUUUGGCCUUCACUAAAUACAAGACUGACCUUGGAGUUUCCUCCUCGGUCCUCUGUGCCCUUCCAAACGUACUCUCGUUAUUUUAUUUCCUUUUUUGGCCAAUGCUUGGUCACAGAUCACAUAAAAUCAUGGUCAUGGGAAGGCCCCGGGCCCUUUUCUGGAGACUUGCAGGGACUAGAAGGGGGAGAAUGUGCACAUGCUGGUUUUUCUGUUCAUUCCUUCCAGGAAGCAGCAGUCUAGUCUGGCUAGAGUGACCUCAGGGGAAGGAUGUGUCCAUAUCCAGGGACAGAGAACAGGCUAUUGUGUCCCUCAAAGCCCUCACAUCUACUUCAGAGUGAUGAGCCAGUGCCUUCUGCCGAGGAGAGGGGAGAACCCCUUUUCUAUUUAUCCCCUGGGCUAUGGAAACUUCCCCUGGGGUCUCCCAGCCAUUCGCACCUUCCCACAUCACUAACUGAUCUCCGAAUGUAGGAAAGGACCGGACGCCCCAUUUCCUCCUCGGGCAACUGCUGUAGGUAGAGUUAGCGACCCACGUGAGGGCAGAGGCAAGGCAUCAGAAGAGCCUUGACAACAUUCUCGGGAAUCUGUUCCGAGGAACGGGAGCUGACAGCGCCUGUGCAUGGACCAUGGGGCUGGGUACAACGCCAGCCGUCUCUCACCGAGGACCUUAGUUCUCCCUCCCGAUGCCAUGAGCAGGUCCCUGCGUCCUAUCCUGAUGCCGUGAGCAAGUCCUGCGUCUUAUCCGGCACGCGAGAACAUGAUGGCAGUUUAGCAGAGCGUGACAGGUGGUGACGUGCACUUUCCAGAAGGUGAGGAACUACCGGGCAAGGAAUAGGUGGUCAGGAAAGGCACAGACACAGAUUCGCCUGGGAUGGAACAAGUCUCCCACUGCCCAGAGGCUUCAAGAAACUCCGUCCACAACUAAACCAUUCUUCAUGGGACUAAACUUUCGUGACCCUCAGUUCUAAACAUCAUUUUCUCUGUUGCUGCUGGUGGCUGUGGGUCUGUUAUUUGGGGAACAUUCCUGGAUGAAGGACAAGUCCCUAAUAAGCCAAUGUUGCAGCAAAGGUAAACACCCAACGAGCAGCUUACUUUGAGGAUUGAACCCAAAGAAAUGACCAUGUGGAACGUUGCAGCUUCCCAUUUUUAAAAGAUAAUACACACAGGCUCGUGGGAGCAAUUUUAGAGUGAAGCCGAACACUUGAUGUAAAAUUUCCGCGUCCCAGUCACACCAGAUGUCUACAAGACGGGACCCGGUGCUGCGGGCGAAGCGGGUCUGGGACGGGUGCAUUUUCAGCACCACGGGUUCGUAGCUGCAGGUGGCAUGGGAGCUCCUCGUACUGUCACGGCGUGUUAGGACAUGGGAGUGUCCCGGCCGCCGCGUCCAGUAGGGCCGAGCAUCCUCCCUCUGAAGGUCAAGUGGAGCUAGAGGACCUCACCUCAGGCCAUGGAGCUCCGAAGAGAGGUGGGUGGGCAACCGGUCCCCGAGGGCCGGGCUCCGCGGCCUCCCUCCCACGCACCCUGGCUCCCGCUUUGCUCAUCACGUCACACCAGCCCGGACCACGGAGGCAUGUGGGUCCACAGGCUCCCUUCCUAGGCUGGCCUCAGUUUCCCUCCAUGAAAACGGAGCCAAGUCAGCUGGCGUCAGUGUUCUUGUAGACUCCAGACCCCCUAGCACACGUUUUUAAGCUUCCUUUCCCAAGCCCCAAGCUGGAACCUUUAAGAAUCCCGGUUGUGGGUCCCCCGGUAGCAUGGGGGGCUCCUGCUCCCUUGAACCCCAACAUCACUGCACUUCCAGGAGGGGGCCACAAAGUGAGGAUCAAGGGACCCCAACAGGCCCAUGACAAAGCUGCUGGGGGCCGCUGGGCAUGGUUCAGUGAAAGCGAGAACGGAAACCAGAAACACAAGCAGAUCUCUUCCUGAGAAGCCCAGCAGGGGGACGGAGCAAGCCAGGGAAGCCCCCCCCCCCCCCCCCCGAGCGUGCUGCCUUGUUGAGGCCACAGUGGCUGGACUCGGGUAUGGAUUGCAAUGCUGGUCUCGCACGGUCAGCAUCAAAUCUACCCUCCAGAUGGAGCUGGGCCCCGUUCCGCCGUCCAGCAGUGGCCCAGAGCAAGGACGGGAUGGGGCGGCUGGAUGGUUCCAGCCAGCCGACGUGCCAGCUCUGGAAUUAGGGCUUCGGUUCUUAACCUCACAGACCUACAUGCAUGUGAUGGACACAUAUGCUUUUCAUAGAAAUGUAUUUGUUCCUUGUUUUAAAUGUUUUUUUUAAAGAUCUUAAUUUGAGAGGCAGAGUCUGUGUACAAGCAGAUAGAGUGGCAGACAGAGAAGGAAAUCAAAUUCCUACUAAGCAGGGAGCCCACUGUGGGACUCGAUCCCGGGACCCUGAGAUCAUGACCGGAGCUGAAGGCAGAGGCUUAACCCACUGAGCCACCCAGGCACCCACUGUUUUAAGUGUUUUACAGACUUUUUCUUCAUUCUAUAUAUUUAUGUAGAAGGACAUAUUACGAAGCAAUACACCAGCACACACUCAUCCUACACGAAUGAGGACAUCUUCCAGAUCAGCCCAUAUUUGUCAUCUCACUGAACAAACCAGAUCUCAAAAAGGUUAAUUCACUGAGGUCACUGAUAGAAGAAGUCUGCCUUGUUCCUGCUUUUUGCUGAGCCCAGACUGUGGAAUCCGGCAGAAUCCAGGACUGCUGACCCCCUGAUGGAGCUGGAGUUCUCUCCUGGGACACCCUUUCCUGUCCGCACCAUGAGGAGAUGGUCUUCCCCUCAGGUGGAUGGACAUCAAGAUUGGGUGAAGUCCCUCCUGGCAGGCAUUCCUGUCUCCCAUUCCCGGUACCCGGACACUCUUCAGUGGCCCUCGCUCACCUUUGAUGACUCAUAGCUAUGCAACAUGCAUUUUCCUCUCCAGUUACUGGGAGGUUAACAUGUAGGCUCAACAGCUUUUCCAGAUGCUUUACAGCAGCUGGUUGGGUAGACCUGGUAGACCCCAGAGCUGGGGGUGUCCAAAUCACUUCCGAGCUCCCAUCAUCCAUGGGGCUACCAGCCAUGCGAGGGUCUCCUAUGAUCUAGGAGUGAGCACUGUGUCUCCUGGCUCGGUCGCACAAAGAUUAAUAGUGUAAAGAGAUAAAGCCUUCAAAGAUUGCAUUGCUUUUUAAAAUCCCAUUUUUCAGAUUUGUAUUUCACAUAACUCAGACUUCUUAACCUGUCAUAAGUCAUCUCCACAUGUUCAACACUAGAAUCAUGAAUCUUAUUGUACAAGCGCACCCAAUUGCUCCAGGGAGAACGGGAGGAUCCUUUAAGAAAAUCUAAUUUUUCUGGGACUCACCUAAUUUCAAAUGAGACCCCCCCGCCCCCAAAAUAGAGGGCAUGUUGUUUCUCAUUUCAAGAGGACUUCCUGAGAGAUGUCAGAUCUGUGUACACACUGACCUGAGGUCCAAUAGACUCCUCUCUUCAGGAUAAAGUUAAAAAUAUGUGAGUAGAUGAUAGAAAAAGGCAGAUAGGACAGGGGACCUGAGCCCACUUGGAGGAUAUCUCGUCACUCUUCCACUGUUUAAAGGACCCAGGUGAUGACCGGUCUACAGAGACCAGUCAUUACGAAGUACAGCUUUCUCUUUUUCGUAACUUCAAGGUAAGGGACUACAGCCCCAGGAUUCUUCCCAGUGAUGGAAAAUGAACACUCAGGUCAAAGGCUAGGUCAAAGGGUGCCCACACAAUUCGAACUACGUUUAUAUAUGCUAUAGAUAUAGUAUCUCCAUCGGUCUCAGGAAGGGUUGGGCAGGGCUAUUCCUCUGGCUUCAAACUUCACACUGAAGUAGAAGUUUAAUAAGGAGGGAAGUUCUGCGGCAAAUACAAUGCAGUAUCUUUAGUUUGUUUCCUCUGGAGAUGGAAAUCUAUGUAAUGCCAUGCUUUACGACACGCAGAGUCGGGAGGCACAGUCCUGGAGCUUCUGGGAAAAGAUGGUAAAAAUGAAGCAUGAACUGAACUUGCUAGGGUCUUCCCCAUAAUGUGAGCCUUCAGGCCCAAGAAUCUGAAUUUUGCCAAGCAUCCAAAUUGCAUCCUUUUCUGAUUGACCUGCUAACAGAAUACCGUGGAUGGGUGGUUAAAUUCAUUUCCCUUGUUCUGGAGCCCUAGCAGUCCAAAAACUGCCUUGCCUCGGGCAGAUUGGGGCUGAGGGUCUUUUCUUCUCAGAAGACCCUCAUUCCAUCCUAAGAGCCCCUCCCCCACAACCUAGCCCUAAUUACCUCCCACGGCCCCUUCUCCAAGGAGCAUCCCAUUGGGGGUUGGGCUUUAACAUAAGAACUUGGUGCGGUUGGGGUGCGGGGAGUCCCCCAACAUUUGUUCCUUAAUAACUUGCAUGGAUUCUCCAGGUCUCACCAGAUUCCCAAGAGUUGCUAAAUCCUGGGAUGUAGCAGAAGAAUGUUUCCCUCACUGGAAGGGAGACGAGGUCAGCAUCUGCCCUGCUUCCCUGCCAGCUGGCAGCACGUCAGUCACGCUUGCCCUGCAGGGGAAGAGCGACGCUCACGGCACUGCUGCUUUCCGGCUCAGAGACUUGCUUCCGGAGCCAGCGGAGCCUGUGGCCUUUAGCACUUGUCAAAGGACACUACCUAGAUCCCGACCAAGGGCAGGGAAGGAAGUAGAAGGACAGUCACAACAUGAAUGGUCAACAAUCAGUCCGAUCUGUGGUCAGUUCCAGAACUAGUUCUUUCAUCUCCUUUAUCCUUGAGAUGAUUAGUGAGUCCUUUGUAUUGUGUCACAAGGGCCACUGUUCCACAGUCAGAGGCAUUUGCGGCAGCUCCCUAAAGAUCACUUGGAUUUAAGGAUUUUCCUUUAUGAAAGCAACUUAAUAAACUUGUAGUUAAAUCA